rnacentral:rRNA from 1 species
UGUGGUUUAAUUCGAAGCAACGCGAAGACCUUACCAGGUCUUGACAUCCCGAUGCUAUUCUAGAGAUAGAAAGUUACUUCGGUACAUCGGUGACAGGUGGUGCAUGGUUGUCGUCAGCUCGUGUCGUGAGAUGUUGGGUUAAGUCCCGCAACGAGCGCAACCCCUAUUGUUAGUUGCCAUCAUUCAGUUGGGCACUCUAGCGAGACUGCCGGUAAUAAACCGGAGGAAGUGGGGAUGACGUCAAAUCAUCAUGCCCCUUAUGACCUGGGCUACACACGUGCUACAAUGGUUGGUACAACGAGUUGCGAGUCGGUGACGGCGAGCUAAUCUCUUAAAGCCAAUCUCAGUUCGGAUUGUAGGCUGCAACUCGCCUACAUGAAGUCGGAAUCGCUAGUAAUCGCGGAUCAGCACGCCGCGGUGAAUACGUUCCCGGGCCUU